UCAACUUCAUAAUGGAGUCUAUGACACAAUUUAAUUAAUGAAGACCUUGACUACCCUAACACAUCCUACUAGUGUACAUGAUACAGGGCUACUGUAAUAAUGAUGCUAACGUUGAUCAUCUAUGAAGGACAAAAAAUUGAAAUCAUCUGUCUUGGUAAAUUAUGUGUCUAGAAUGAUGAAAGUGAGAAGAGAUGCUCCAAAGACACAUUGCCAAGGAAAAAGUGGAACACUGAGGUUCUUUCUACAAUUAAUCUACAACUCCUUGAAAUUUGUGUGUAUAUAGAUCGAUAAGUAAGUGUGGAAAUUCCUUCAGAAAAUUCCUACUCUGGAUGCAACUACAGAUUAUCAUACUAAGUGAAGUAAGCCAAAAAGAGAAAGACAAAUACCAUAUGAUAUCACUUAUAUGUGACAUGAUGCAAAUGAGCCUUUCUAUGGAACAGAAUCAGAAUCAUGGACAUAGAGAACAGACUGGUGGCUGCCAAGAGGUAGGAGGUUGGGGGAGAGAUGGAAUGGGAUGUUGGGAUUAGUAGAUA